rfam:Chlorocebus sabaeus isolate 1994-021 chromosome 11, whole genome shotgun sequence.
UACUCCAGCCUGGGUGACAGUGAGACCCUGAUAUAGAGCAGAUUAGCAUGUUCUCUGCACAAGAAUGACAUGCAAACUUGUGAAGUGUUCCAUAUUUUU